GCCACACACUGAACUAACCAAAAACCAGCCAAAACCGGCUGUGCUGUCCCUAAUAAUCUAAUUCAGUUGCCAUAGCAACAACAAGAUUCUAUUACCAUGACAACCAAAUACACAACACCCCACUAUCUCAGUAUUUGUCUGUAGCCAGCCUUGAGUGCUGGGACAGGGGAGGGGAAGGCAAGGAAAGUUUUGAUGAGCCUUGGCAGCUGUGUGAGCUGAUGGCUUUGUCUAACCAGUUGGGAAAGGCAAGGAGUCUCUGAUGUUCAAUAUGACUCCUCAAUAUGGUGUUAGUUACAACUGAAGUAUUCUCCAGGCUAAGAACAUCUGAGAGGGCUCUUCCCUGUAUGGACUUGCUGAUGCUUGAUGCCAUGUGAGCAUGAAAUGCAGAUAACCUGCACCUGCAAUCUUACCCUGUCUGUGUGCUCCUGUCUCCAGUUCAGAUAGCAGAGUGUCUGGAGAUGGAAAGGAUAAAAGAGAGGGGUCAGCAACAGUUGGCACGCAGCCCGUCAGGGUAAUUCGCUGGCGGGCUGUGAGACAUUUUGUUAACGUUGAGCGUCCACAGGCAUGGCCCCCUGCAGCUCCCAGCUGCUGUGGAUUACACACAAGAGACUCCUGUGCUGGAGAGGCUCAUCAGGAUUUAUGCCUUCCCUUUUGGCCCACAGCGCUGCCAUAUGGGCCAGAGCACAAUGAUGGGCUGGGUCCACAUUUCAAGAGUGGCCUGAAAUGUUGGGUUCUAAACUGCUCUCGAGCACAUGCCCUGUGCUCGAGUUGUGUAGUUGGGAGAGAAAAACUGAAGUAUCCCAAUUUUUGCUAUAUUUUUAUACCUUAAUGAUUUUGCCAAGGCUCUCUAAUUGAAUCAAUGAAUGUGAGACAUCCUGGUGCCUGGGCCCCUGCUACAUCGGCUCAAUUUGGUGACUCUCCAUUUUUUAUUAAAUAGAUACAUAACCUAAUUAUUAACCAAUUGGCCAGAGUCUAAUUCCUCCCACAGUCUCAGAGACACACCGUGAUUUCCCCUCCUAGAUCCCAACUCUCGGUAUCUU